rnacentral:tRNA from 1 species
CUGUAGCGCAGCUGGAUAGCGUGUCAGACUCCGACUCUGAAGGUCGUGGGUUCGAAUCCCAUCAG